rnacentral:tRNA from 1 species
GUUGUGGCUCAGCGGUAGAGUAUUCGCCUGGCAUGUGCAAGGCCCUGAGUUCGUUCCUCAGCACCACG